GAUGAACGCUAGCUACAGGCUUAACACAUGCAAGUCGAGGGGAAACGACAUCGAAAGCUUGCUUUUGAUGGGCGUCGACCGGCGCACGGGAGAGUAGCGCGUAUCCAACCUGCCCAUCACUUGGGGAUAACCUUGCGAAAGUAAGACUAAUACACAAUGAUAUCUCUAGAAGACAUCUGAAAGAGAUUAAAGAUUUGUCGGUGAUGGAUGGGGAUGCGUCUGAUUAGCUUGUUGGCGAGGUAACGGCCAACCAAGGCUACGAUCCGUAGGGGAUCUGAGAGGCAGCUACACCACAUCUGAACUAGGACACGGUCCAAAAUGCUACGGGAGGCAGGAGUAUGGAACACUGGGGAAGGAGGGAGGGCCUGAAAAAGCCAAGUAGGGUACAGGAAUACUGGGCUAUGGGUUCUAAACUGCUUGUAUAAGGGAAAAAAGUGAGAGUCGUGACUCUUUUUGUAGGUACCUUAUGAAUAAGGACCGGCUAAUUCCGUG
rnacentral:rRNA from 1 species